AGCGAACGCUGGCGGCAGGCCUAACACAUGCAAGUCGAACGAACUCUUCGGAGUUAGUGGCGGACGGGUGAGUAACACAUGGGAACGUGCCUUUAGGUUCGGAAUAACUCAGGGAAACUUGUGCUAAUACCGAAUGUGCCCUUCGGGGGAAAGAUUUAUCGCCUUUAGAGCGGCCCGCGUCUGAUUAGCUAGUUGGUUGGGGUAAUGGCCCACCAAGGCGACGAUCAGUAGCUGGUCUGAGAGGAUGACCAGCCACAUUGGGACUGAGACACGGCCCAAACUCCUACGGGAGGCAGCAGUGGGGAAUCUUGCGCAAUGGGCGAAAGCUUGACGCAGCCAUGCCGCGUGUAUGAUGAAGGUCUUAGGAUUGUAAAAUACUUUCACCGGUGAAGAUAAUGACUGUAGCCGGAGAAGAAGCCCCGGCUAACUUCGUGCCAGCCGCCGCCGUAACAC
rnacentral:rRNA from 1 species